GAGUUUGAUCAUGGCUCAGGAUGAACGCUAGCGAUAGGCUUAACACAUGCAAGUCGAGGGGCAGCAUGAACUUAGCUUGCUAAGUUUGAUGGCGACCGGCGCACGGGUGCGUAACGCGUAUGCAACUUGCCUUACAGAGGGGGAUAACCCGUUGAAAGACGGACUAAUACCGCAUAUACUUAUUCGGUUGCAUGACCGGGCAAGGAAAUAUUUAUAGCUGUAAGAUAGGCAUGCGUCCCAUUAGCUGGUUGGUGAGGUAACGGCUCACCAAGGCAACGAUGGGUAGGGGAACUGAGAGGUUUAUCCCCCACACUGGUACUGAGACACGGACCAGACUCCUACGGGAGGCAGCAGUGAGGAAUAUUGGUCAAUGGGCGAGAGCCUGAACCAGCCAAGUCGCGUGAAGGAAGACUGUCCUAAGGAUUGUAAACUUCUUUUAUACGGGAAUAACGGGCGAUACGCGUAUUG
rnacentral:rRNA from 1 species